ensembl:lncRNA
UUAAUAUGAAGUCUGUGUGUUGAACUAGUCCACUGUUCACUAAAGGAGACCCGAGUGUAGAACCGCACGUGGUAAUCGCAGUCCCGAGGCCGUCGCAGCGACCGUCGUCCCAGCGACCACGGCGAGAUAAAAAGGAAUUACUCCUCGUCAAAUUGUGUGCACUCGAAAAGAUAAGACAACGCAAACAAUAUUUACAACAACACAGAAAACAUCUCGAGACCGGACUCGAGUCCCGCAGCUCUAGAAGUCGAUAUCAAAAUAAAAUAGGAACGCCGUUAUCUUCACUGUCCAAAUGAACUAUGAAGACUAGUCGGGGCUGUGAAAAAAAUACAGCAAGGCAGACAGUCAAUAAAGCAACUACAUUUAUUUUGUAGGUGUGAAAAUAUUUCAGACAAGAUCAAACCGAUUCAAUGGUCAUCUGCACAAGGUGAUGGAAAAAAAGCUUUUUACCCCCCUAUGUUUUAACAGGCCACUGGCACUGAGUAGAGGUGUGUGCACGAUCGCCUUUAAAUUCCUAUUCCCGGGACCGUCCUGAAACACCUCCAGGUACUGUACUGAACUGACUCCAGGUACUGUACUGAACUGACUCCUGGUACUGUACUGAACUGACUCCUGGUACUGUACUGAAACACCUCCAGGUACUGUACUGAAACACCUCCAGGUACUGUACUGAACUGACUCCAGGUACUGUACUGAACUGACUCCUGGUACUGUACUGAAACACCUCCAGGUACUGUACUGAACUGACUCCAGGUACUGUACUGAAACACCUCCAGGUACUGUACUGAACUGACUCCAGGUACUGUACUGAAACACCUCCAGGUACUGUACUGAACUGACUCCAGGUACUGUACUGAACUGACUCCAGGUACUGUACUGAAACACCUCCAGGUACUGUACUGAACUGACUCCUGGUACUGUACUGAACUGACUCCUGGUACUGUACUGAAACACCUCCUGGAUGCUGCUGUAGACAUCCUCCUGCCAUCAUUAAACUAUAAGGCGUUUCUGUGACGUGCUGCGCUCCCAGUUAGAGGAGAUGACCCGUUGAGUGGUCUUAAUAAAACAAAACAAAACCUCUAAUACAAACGCAAGACUCUUCAUCGAUCUUCGUUUCCUUUUCUAAAACAUUUACAGCGUCUAGCAUUGAAGCGCUCACUGCAGACUCACCACCUCCGGGUAAUAUCCCCAGACCCCGAGCACUGGGGAAGAUCAGUGAAGGCCUCGUUCAUAAUUGAUGGUGGAACCAGAGGAGCUGUUUUUCAGGAUUAUUACGAGAGCCGAGUCCAUUCCCACGUGUGCGAAGAGAGAAAUUCACGGCUCAAAGUUUCAUUCAACAUUACACACACAUCUAAGAGCUGAACCAGGCCCUGGGGAGUGUUCUUUAUUGAAACGCUAAAGGCCUUGAGAAGAUUAUUUUGUGGACCAGGACAGGUGCAUCAAACGCCGAACAGAAUAAUAAUCGUCCUCCAGCAGGGUUGUGUCUAUAAAACAGCAGUGCCGCGUCGCAUCGCCAUUCUGCUCACCGUUGUCGCUGUAGCUGUUUAAAAAAGGACAAGUAACGCUCACGAUCAACGAGCGGAUAGAUUUUCUUUGACGUGACUCACAUGGAGCUUAAUUUGCAUUUAAACGUGUGUCGCGUGCCCUCGCUCGUCCCCUCGCGGAUGAACUAUUGAGCGUAAGGUACCGCGAGUUUAUAAUAGUGGCGAUAAGUACACAUAUCGUCGAGUUCACACUUUGUCAGACGAAGUUAAAAUACAACACGGAUUGGUUGAGCGGUUUCGGAAAAAAAAACAACAUAAAGAAACCUUCGAAGAAGCUGCGUUUAACGUAGAUCGCAGCGGAGUUACGAAAUGCAAGUUUACGCUAACUAUCGGCGACAAGACUGACCAUCACUGUGGGUAAAUAAAUCAAAACAAAUCUGCAGCAGUAAAACAUGAUUAGUCGUGUAGUCAAAUUGUGACGUCGCCGCGUACAUGGUCCGAAAAAGAGCGCAGAAAAGAAAAGAAAAGAGGGGAAAAGCCUGACCUACAGUUACCACACUCCCGAAGAUCGCUGUCUGGAAGAAAAGCCAUUCUAGCCAGAGCUGUUAUGAGAACUCUUCCGUAACAUGACCAAUCAAACGGGCUGCACUAUUUCUAGCUCCGCCCCCCACGUCCCUGUUCGGCUUUUCAGCACUUGAUUACAGUAGAUCUCACUAAACGAUGCAAAUAACAGUGAAGAGAGUUUUACCUUGUCAUGUCAUAGUAAUAUUUGUGAUACUUUUUAGUCUUUCUCAUCGGUGCGUAAAAUCUCCCUCGGGUAUAUUGUAUUUAACCAUAGUCUAAGGUACAUGGUGAAUUAUUUAAUGUUUCAUCUGAGCUUUUUUAGUAGCGACGUAACGAGUAUGAAUACACCGUUGGAGAAUGAGCAGGUAAUCGUGUUCUAAACUGAUACAAACACUCAGUACGUUUACAUGGACCACGAUAAUCCGAUAUUAAUCCGAUUGAGACGAUAUUCUGAUUGAGAAACUAGCAUGUGAACAGAGAUUACUGACGACCUUAAUCUGAUUAAAGUCACACUCGGAGUAAACACAGAUGGAAUUACGUCAUGUGGCGUAUUCCUGUUUUAUUCACGUUAUCGACGUGCGUUACAGACGCGUACACGCCUUAAUCACACUAUUAACGUCGUGCGAGAGUUUUCACCGUAUUGUGCGACAGGACACGUACACACACGGCAGCGCUCGAGCGUUUUACGGCGAACAAGAGAACGCGUCCCAAACCGCGUACUUACGCGCGGUGUAGUAGGCGAGAUGCAUGUAUUUAUGUAAGUACGCGGUUCGGGACGCAGCCCACGGCUUCAAUCGGUCGUCUGUUUGCACGUACAGCGCGACUAAUAAUCAACCGCACUUGAAGCUUUCAUAAAAAAAUUAUAAAUGAAACACCCGAAACUGUAUAUGGUACCAUAACGAAGAUGAACUGUAUGUCGAUAGGUGAAAUUCUGGAGGGAUGACGGACAUAUAUGUAUAUUUAAUAAUAAUAAUAAUAAUAAUAAUAAUAA